rnacentral:sRNA from 1 species
CCCAUCUUCAGGGGGUCCCGGGAUGGAGGGGGAAAUACAGUCCUGGGCCCUGGCCUAGGAAAGGCUUCUACAAAAGUUUGCUUUAAUGGGAUGUUUUCUGCUGUGUGCAGAGGGGCACACAUUCCACCAGGGUGAAGCUGGUGGGGUGAGCUCAGGAGGUCCAAAUUCAGCCCCACCCUGCUCAGCAGGCUGUGCGGCCAUAAGGGUCGUGGGAGGGACAGGCCUGGCAUGGCAAUGACCCCAUUGCCUCCUGCGCCAGGAUUCAGAGCAACUACAUGGCACUGCAGAGGAUCAACCAGGAGCUGGAGGACAAGCUGUACCGCAUGGGCCAGCACUAUGAGGAGGAGAAG